rnacentral:lncRNA from 1 species
ACGAAUAAUUUAUUUAACGAUAAAAUGGCAUGCCAUCUAAUGUGAUUAGGAUCCGUAGAAGAGUUUUUGAGCAAUUUUUUUGACGUGGGGCUAUAUACCUGACCCAUAUCUGUUGGGGUCAUAUAUAUACAAGUAACCUUGGUUUUCCCAGCUCAUUGAUAAAGCUGGACAUGCUUGCUAGUGCUGUAAAAGUGAAUUCUGAUGAAUAUAUAAAUGAUAUAGGUACACAGUACAGAACAAGAAAUCGAUAUAUUGGGUGUGACAGUUGUAUCUCGUGCCUUUGGAAAUAAAAUGCUCUGUGCAAGUUUAUUCUUCAGAUUGAGAAAUCAUGCUUUUGCAUAUGGUGGAUGUGUAAUCAAGUUUAUGAUUGAGGCAAACUACAUCAGCUAAAUAAGAUGCAUUUUCAAAGUUUAAGGCCAUGCAUAUGUAUGCUUUCACACUUCUGAAUCUUUGGUUUCAUGGAACUUCCUUGCAAGUUCUGCUGCAAAUUCCGUAAUAUUCUUAUCAGAGCUUCCGCCUUCAUCCACUGCUGUUUUGGCCAGUUUCAUCCAUUUCUCAGAGUUCCUUCUCAUCUUAUUCCCUCUUUCACCUUCCAUGACUUCCCGUAGACACCCUUCUACCUCUUUUUUAGUGACAAUCCCCUUUUCAUUUGCCUUCACUCUAACCCCUACAUGCCAAACAUCGGCAAUGCACUUUGCAUUUGUUGGUUGAUCAGCCCAGUGUGGCAUUGCCACCAUUGGCACUCCUAAGCUCAACGCCUCGAGUGUUGAGUUCCACCCGCAAUGAGUCAUGAAGCAACCAACAGACUUGUGAGCCAGAACCUCUAGCUGCGGGCUCCAGGUCACAAUCAGACUCCUCUCUGAUGACUCCUCCACAAAGUUGCUUGGAAGUUUUUUCCUUUCCGAUUCUCUGACUACCCACAAGAAGUUGCAGUCACUCCUCUUUAGGCCCCAAGCAAUUUCUGCCAUUUGCUCCUCUCCCAGUGCAGCCAUGCUUCCAAAUGACACAUAAACCACUGAGCCAGUUUCCUUUGAAUCUAGCCACUCAUUGCACCCGUCCGGAUUGGGUUUGAAGAGGCUGGGACCGUACUCUUUAUCGUCCUCCAGCUGCCUGUCCAAGUAAAAUGAUGGGAUCAAUGGUCCUAUUGGCUUUAUUGACCUUUGGCUUGCCAACCAGUUUACCGCCUGAUGGAAAUCAACAAAAUUUUUGAGUGCAACAGAAGUCAAAGGAGCAUACUUUGAAAAUAUGGUAUCAUCUUAUGAACAAAGAACAAAGAAUUUAAAUGGGAAUUUGAAGCAUUGCUGCUCUCGUAUAUGUUGCUUUGCUUGUCAAUCAGUUAUUGACUAGUUGCUUGUUUGGUGGCACAUUUGUUUGCUUCGUUAAAAUUUAUAUAUGUACUAAGAUCAAGACAUGCAUUUCAUAUAUAGAGGAGAUCUUUAGUGGUACCUCUUCCUCCAGGGUGCUGAAAGUGUUGACAAAGAUCCAAUCAGCUUCCCUGAAAUUCGAAAACUGACCGACCACAUGGUUCAGUAGAAAUGAAUAUUCUGAUUCUGAAUCCAUACCUUGCACGAAUGAUGGUAGAUCGGUAAUCUCUAGUGGUGAAAGUGCUGGCAAACGUGAAACUGUUACCAGCAACUCCUCUGGUGGAAUCUUUAGCUGCAUCUCAUGAACGUUGUAGUAGACAUUGUCAACAGCACAUGACUGUGUGAAGAGCGAAGCCGCAGUGAGGCCAAGCUGUCUAGCUGUGUCUAGAAGCCAAGGCAAGUGGGAGUCAUACAGAAGGCAACUUAUUGGAUGCCCAGAAGAAUUGUUUAGUUCUGCAACGAGUUCUGGCAAUUUUCGUGUCACCGCAGCUUGGAAUUGUUUUGAGUAGUCAUCUGAGGAAAGCUUACCUUCAUAACUAACAAAAUCUACGGUCACAACUUCGACGGAGCCAAGGCGGCGGGUAUGCUUGGUCACCAUGCUCGAGAAGAUCACUAUUGUGACGUGGAGUCCUUUGGAGGCAAGGCGCUUGGAGAAUUGCAUCAUAGGGUUAAUGUGACCCUGAGCAGGAACGGGUAGGGCCAGUACAUGACUCUUACUCUGUCUUUCUUGCUUCUCCAUUAAUUUCUCUAACCAAACGCUGUCUAUUUGCCUUUCAUUCUCCUGAGUAGAACAAUGUGUGUGGUUUGAAGAAACAAUGUGAUUGGCAUACGAAUGCAUAUGGUGGCUUUUGACUUGUCUCCAUAUGCAGGCCGCCUCGAAAAGUGAUUUGUUUAUCAUUAAAAAUGGAUAGAAAAUUUAGCUUUUUUAGAAAAAGUGUUUUUAAUUUUUAUUUCAAGUGAAUAUUUUUUUUUAAAUUGUAAAAAAUUCAAAAAUAUUUUAUUAUUUAUUAAUUAUAUUAAAUUUAGUUUUUUUUUUAUAUAUUUAGUUUUGAUUUUUUUUAAUUUCAAUAUCUAAAAUUUAAUUUUAUUAAUUUUUUAUGUCGUUCUUUUUAUUAUUAUUUUUUAAUUAUUAUUAUAUUUAUUUUUUAUCUAUUAGGUUUAGUUUCUAUUCUUUUAAUUAUUAUUAUUUUUUUGAAAUAUUUUAUAAUUGUUUUUUAAAUCUCAUCUCCUUUAAUUUUUUAUGUCGUUCUUUUUAUUAUUAUUUUUUAAUUAUUAUUAUAUUUAUUUUUUAUCUAUUAGGUUUAGUUUCUAUUCUUUUAAUUAUUAUUAUUUUUUUGAAAUAUUUUAUAAUUGUUUUUUAAAUCUCAUCUCCUUUAAAUUUUUUAUUUGUUAGUUUUGAUCUUUAUUCUUUUAAUAUACUUAAAACAUUAAAAAUUAAAAAGUUAUUUUUUAAUUUAUCUUCUAAGAUAUAAAAAUAAUAAAAAAUAUUCUUUAAUUUAUUUUUUAUGAUAAUAUUAAAUAUGAAAAAAUAAUUUAAGAACCCAAUCUCUGGGGUUAAAUAUCUAAGAUUAUCCAUCAUACUAAAAUAUUAAAGCAUCCCCAUCCUUCUCUGAAUCUUAUCACAAUGAAACAUCACAGCUCUGCUCUGACAUGCAACUGGAUCGAUAUUGAUAGGCUUUAAUUAAUCGAUGUCAUUAGGCCUUUGAUUUUGCUGGCUGGCUACUCUUUGGAGUUUUUGGUGUUACUUGGAACUGUGUUUUAAAUAGUUUUGAAUAAUGUUUAUGAAAAUUAAUUUUUUAUAUUUUUAAAUGAUUUUAAUAUAAUGAUGUAUAAAUAAAUUUUUAAAAAUAAAAAGUAUCAUUUUAAUUUAUUUUCUAGUAAAAUAUAUUUUAAAAAAUAAUCAUUAUCAUUCCUAAACACCCUCUAAAAAACUCAUUUCACCGGGUAAUGUUAAAUAAUGCGGUUUAACAAGUAUUUCAAACUACUUUUUAUUUUAAUAAUAUUUUUCAAUUUACACUACAUUAUCAAUCAAAUAAAUUAAAUUAUCUUCUACUUACUGUCGGGACCCUGAAGUCUGCAUGCUAGAGACUUUACAGGGAAGAAAUAUAGCUUGAAUUGUACCUAUUCGACCCCCAUUUUUUCUCUCUUAUUGGCCGGCUUCUUUUUUUUUUUUUUUUUAUCGUCUUGGAAAGUUCAAAAUGAAAAUUCCCUACUCUUUUCGUUGGGCUUAUCUGCAAGCAUUUAGAAAAUGGCUUUAAUUAAUUAUAUCUUAAGGAAUAAAAUCUUUGCUAUCUUGUCAAUAAGAAAGUAAAAGGAGCAUACUUUGAAAGAAUGGUAUAUGUUUCUUUGCUUGUCAAUCAGUUGUUGACUGCUUGCUUGCUUGAUCGCACACUUGUGUGCUUUGUUGUCUCUUUGCUUGCUUGCUUGCUUCCAAAAAGGCUUCCUUGGACGAAGUACUUAUCUGUCGGGGAACCUGAGUAGGAAACGGUGAAUCAAAUUCAUGCAAGAGGUGAAACAUGUUGGAAGUAAAACAGGAGUGGUAUAUAUCAACACGGCAAUGUAAAGAAUAAAAAGAAAUUACGAGGAAAGUAUAUUUUUAUUACAUGCUUUUUUUUAAGCCUUUUGUACUUUUUUUUUUUUUUUACCUUCUAUAUAUUAUUUCCGGACUUAUUAUUAUUCCACAAUAAAAUUUUAACUGGUGUUUACUUGAACACUUUUCGUACAAUUAUUUUUUAAAUUUUAUUUUUCAUUUUCAUUUUAAUUAAUCAGAUUAUUUUUUGAUUCUAGAGAUAUUUAUUUUAAAUUCUUCUUAUUCUUUUAUCCAUAUAAAUCUAUUAUUAAUUUUACUAUCAUUAUAAAUUUUAAAUUAAAAUUUAUAAUUUUCAUUUUAAUUUCAACAAUACCUAUAAAUUUUUUUGUGGAGGUCAUCUCUUCUAUUAUAUGCCUCAUAUUUUAUUAUCUUUAUUUUUAUUUUUAUCCCAAGCUUUCAUUACUCUUCAAAACUUUACUACUUUUGGUUUUAUUUUUUACACGUGGGGGGUUCACAAUUUGUUUUUAACAAAUUAUUAGGGAAGUCAGUUUAAGUUUGAUUUGUUCAUAUUCAGAUUAUAAGUUAUCUGACAUUAUCUUUGUUUCUUUUCUUUUCAAUGUUUAGCUGUGUUCUUAAUUACUAAAUCAAUUGCUUAAUAAAAUUCUAGUUGUGCAUAUUCGCAAAGUAUUUGUGUGCUCUCGUAGGCAAUCACACACGUAUAUACAGCAAACCCGGACCUUUGUUGAAGCUCUCUCUGUUAUAAAGCAUCCAAAAAAGACGGUGGUGUAUGAGUCUAUCUCCGAUAAUAAGGAGUGGCUUCUGAGAAGUUUAGUGGGAUAUAUAGCCACAAACGUGGACUAUACUCACCUUGAACAAAUGGUUCUAAAAAAUAUCAAGCAGGCAACUGGCUUUUGUUUUCAAGGAGCAAGCCAAGCAAUCAUCACCUUUACAAAUAGAGAAUUUAUGAAAAAAGAGCUGACAAAUAGAUCUUUUGUAUUGAAAACAUCAUUCUCUCAUAUGAAAAUCAUGGAAAAAGGGAGCAAAAACUAUAGAUAGAUUUGUGUGGGUGUCUAUACUAGGACUACCUGCUGAAACCGCAAAUGUAUUGAAUCAUUGUUGAGUACGCAGGGAAAAUGGUUGGAUACAAUAUUCCUAGCAUGAACCAAGGCUCUCUCACGGGAGUAAAAGUGUUGAUGCGCACAAUCUCUUUUAUGACUUUAAAUGAACGUGUUUUGCUGGUUCUAGACGGCGAUGAAUUUGAAAUCUCAAUCAUGGAAAUGAAACCAGAUUUUAGACCCCUACUUACCACAAUCAAACAUUCAAUAGAUGCUCAAACAUUAUAUGAAGAGUCAUGCAGCGAAUUUGCAGUUUCAGACGAGGCUACUACAGUGGGCACAAAGUUUACUGACCCAGGCGGUGACUAUUGUGCAACGGAUAUUACUUUAACAGAGCAACAAAAGGCGAAUACGGAGAGCGAUUUUGCUCUCAUCCUCUGUCAAGGGCACACUGGAUCAACAAACAGCCUGGACAACACUGACACAAUUUUCAAAACCACCUGCCUUUUUCCUGAAACUAAGGUAACACAUAACCUCCAAACAAAAGAUCAGCAACUGCAUGUCGAUACAUAUCAACCACCUUCUGCAGUGCCACACUAUGACAAAGUAGGGAAAAACACGCAAGAGGUAGCUGAUAGUGAUAGUAACACAGAUGCCUCAGCAGAUUCAAUUACAGGAGUGGGCCUCGUCAAAAAAGGCAUCACAGGCCAUUCAAAUUCUCAGGUUAAAGGAACAAGGCUAAAAACAAGGCUAUAGACCCAAGUGUAUUAGGGCUUAACACUUCUUCAGCCCAGGUUUCAACGCCCUCCUCCAAAAUAGCGAGAACCUUGAAUUUAGACCAAAACCAAUUGCAGAACUUCUUUUCUGCUUUCAUACUUGACUUGGCAGAACCCCAAGAAGUGGUAGAAAUGGAACUAAAGGAAAGAAAAAAGAAGAAGCUUAGACAAAUCAGAAGACUUGGCCCAAAAUCUUCAUACAGAAAAGGGAAGAAAGUGAUGAAAGAUAAACCUGCUUUGGCGCACGAUGACAUAUCAGAGGUUGUACCUGAGUUAAUUGCUACUUCUGUAACUGACUCUUACAAAAACACAUCUCUAAAAGACACCGGCUCAUCCCCUGUUACUAAAUCAACUGUUGAUAAAAAUGAAGAUGUAACCUCUAACAAUGCAUCCAUUGAUGAGGAGGCCAGUGAUACACAUGUCUGUUUACCAGCCCCUUUGAGCUUUCAGUGCAGCCAGAAGGCCUCCUCAGAAGCGGUAAAGGAAAACACCAGGGAUGUUAGAAGCAAAACAAGGAAACAGAAAUUGUUGCAAGCUAGUGGUAGUGUAGCUAACACUACUAAGAAAGGUGUUUCUUAUGAUUCCCUCAAUUCAGGAAUUAAACAAGGAAAUGUUCAGUUCCAGACAGCCUGCAAGAAUAAUCAAGCUAAUGGUUUUGACAGAGAAAAAGAGACUCAGGAAAUGUUAUAUGAUGCAACCACUCUAGGCUUGGGAUGUGCAAGCUUCCUCAUAAUUUUAAUGCAAGCUUUUUACACACAGAAUUUUGAUUUUAGUGAAGCUGGUUUCAUCAGGAUCAAUCAAAUUGGAACUUUUUCUAAACAUCUUUUCAAAAAGAAAUCAAUUCCAUUCUGUCGUCAUUCUUCUUUUUAUACAAACAAAAACACCAAUACAUUGAAUGAAUUCAUGGAAGCAAGCUGACGUGUUAAUAACUAAAAAAAAAAAAGGAACAUACCUGGAAAGAUGAUGGUACUGCUCUUGAAGAAAAGGAAAAAUAUUUGUUUCACCAGUAAAAUCCACAAGAGACCAGCAAUAGCUGUUAAUUUUAGCUUUCAGCUUGGCUUUUUUUUUUUUCCAACUCUAACCCCUCUAUACUCCUCCCUCUUUUCAAAUUUUCUCUGUUUUUUUUUUUCCCCUUCCUUCUCCCCCCUUACAAUUUUGGGGAUGAAGAACUAGCUGCCUACUGAUUACUCAUUUCAAUGUUGACAACUAUCUAUCAUCCAACGAUAGAUAUUUAAUCUACAAGUGGCUUAUUUUAUAGCAUAUUGCAUGUGGCAAAGACCAAAAAUGCAACGACUUUUGCUCGUAGAAAUGGAUAUAUAUGAAACACCCGAUGCAAUGGGCUGCGUUCAAUUUUAUUUUCUCCCAUUUAGGAUUUUUGUCUAAUAAACACACUCAAAAUGUAAUCAUUUAGUGUUUGUUCGGUAAUUAAUAUAGUAAUUUUUGCGGUUAUAAUUGAAAAAGAAUUUAUAAAUUAUAAUUUAAAAACUAUCCAAUUGAACACAGUUAUACCUCUUAUUUACCAAGCACCUAGUCAACAGAUAAUUUUCCCAAUCCAAUUGGGUGUUUUAAGUUUCUUAUGGAAAUCUAUCAAGGGUCAGAAAUUUAACAUGAUGCUUUUCUUCUACCUUUUAUUUUUUCUCUGCUUCUUGUCAUUUUGUUGAGCAUUUGAUAAAUUUAGUAUUGUUUUCUUUUUUACCAUGUAUAAGUAUAAGUGUAUAGCUGAUACUUAGAUCAUUUUCAAUCGAACAGAUGGAAAGAAUCUUGUGGAAGACAUUGUCAAAUUAGGCAGGUGGACGGAAGAUGCCAAAGCAACUGAAGAGAGGGAGAUGUAAAAAAAUAUUCCUUCAAAUUCUUUCCUGCUGUUGUCUGGAUAGUACCAUCUAAUGUGAUUAGGACCCGUAGAUGAGUUUUUGAGCAUUUUUUUUGACGUGGGGCUAUAUACCUGACCCAUAUCUGUUAGGGUUAUAUAUAUAAGAGUAACCUUAAUUGGUUUUCCCAGCUCGUUGAUAAAGCUGGACAUGCUUGCUAGUGCUGUAAAAGUGAAUUCUGAUGAAUAUAUAAAUGAUAUAGG